GGGGCCGAUCCGGAUUCGACGUGGGUCGCGAAGCAACUCAGGGCAUGCCGAGCACCAGUUCGCUCGUUAAACCACUGGAAACACUACAAACGCCAACGACGAGCGUUUCGCUCUCGCCGCUUAAGCGGUGAGCCGCUGCACUGAUCUGUCCUUGGGUCAGGCGGAGGAAGGCAACUUCCUAGGGGGCAACCCCGAACCGCAGCAGCGACAUUCACAAGGAAUCGGUCUGCACUGGGGUCACACGGUUCAGGCUUAAAUUACGUGAAUCGCCUUGGUCCGGCCUGUCGGUUGGCUAAGUCCAGGGUUAAAUCCAAAUAGGCCGACUACGCAUGUAGAACUGGUUGUAGAGGGCUUGCGGACGGGGGUUCAAUUCCCCCCGGCUCCACCA
rnacentral:tmRNA from 1 species